rnacentral:sRNA from 1 species
AAAUACUCAUUUACGUCUGUGAACUAAAUGAUUUGUGUGAAAGUACGCCUGACCCUAUUGGGUGGCCUACGAGCUCAUAUUUUUUUAAAUAUUAUCAAACGUCCAAAACAAAUAAAAUUCUAAACGUUUAAAUAUUUUUUUUCUCAUUUCUAUAGUUAACUUCAGAAUCCUGGCAGUAUAUUACAACUUACAACUUUACACUGGAACAUUUCAUUAUGAAAUUCUGGAUCCUUAUGAUAAUAAAAUCAAUGUUUUGAGUGGAGUCAGCGGAACAUUUGGUGUAGUGGAAGGUUUCUUUGAUUUAAGUGAUGAGCCUUCUUUUGGAACAUGGAAAAUAAAUGUCAGAACUGAGACUGUUUCAGGAGAGAA